rnacentral:rRNA from 1 species
CGAAAGCCAGACGCAGCGACGCCGCGUGGGCGAAGAAGGCCUUCGGGUUGUAAAGCCCUUUUCCAGGGGAAGAGGAAGGACGGUACCCUGGGAAUAAGUCCCGGCUAACUAUGUGCCAGCAGCCGCGGUAAGACAUAGGGGACGAGCGUUAUCCGGAUUUACUGGGCGUAAAGAGCGUUGAGGCGGUUCCGUAAGUUGGAUGUGAAAGCCCCGGGCUUAACUCGGGGAGGUCGUUCAAUACUGCGGGGCUAGAGGGCAGCAGAGGGAGGUGGAAUUCCCGGUGUAGUGGUGAAAUGCGUAGAUAUCGGGAGGAACACCCGUGGCGAAGGCGGCCUCCUGGGCUGACCCUGGCGCUGAAUGCGAAAGCUAGGGGAGCG